CCUACGGGGGGCAGCAGUGGGGAAUAUUGCACAAUGGGCGCAAGCCUGAUGCAGCAACGCCGCGUGAGCGAAGAAGGUCUUCGGAUCGUAAAGCUCUGUCCUUGAGGAAGAAGGAAGUGACGGUACUCAAGGAGGAAGCCCCGGCUAACUACGUGCCAGCAGCCGCGGUAAUACGUAGGGGGCAAGCGUUAUCCGGAAUUAUUGGGCGUAAAGAGUACGUAGGUGGUUUUGUAAGCGCGGGGUGAAAGGCAGUGGCUUAACCAUUGUAAGCCUUGCGAACUGCAAGACUUGAGUGCAGGAGAGGA
rnacentral:rRNA from 1 species